GCCUUUUGGUUUUUAAAGGUUAUUUCUGCUCAGUGUUUUUUAACAGCCGCGGUAAUUUGACCGUGCAAAGGUAGCAUAAUCAUUUGCCUUGUAAUUGAGGGCUGGUAUGAAUGAAUAAACGAAGGUUUUUCUUUAUUGGAAAAAAGUAAUGAAUUUUCUGUCUUAGUGAAGAAGCUAAGCUAAUAAAGGGGACAAGAAGACCCUUUCGAGCUUUACUAAUUGUCUUUUUGGCUUUUUUUAGUUUGGUUGGGGCGACCUAGGAAUAUCUUCCUGUAAUAUUUUGAUCCACUGUUUGUGAUUAAAAGAAUAAGUUACCGAAGGGAUAACAGCGUAAUUCUUCUUGAGAGUUCUUAUUAACGGAAGAGAUUGCGACCUCGAUGU
rnacentral:rRNA from 1 species